AUUGAACGCUGGCGGCAGGCUUAACACAUGCAAGUCGAGCGGAGAUGAGGUGCUUGCACCUUAUCUUAGCGGCGGACGGGUGAGUAAUGCUUAGGAAUCUGCCUAUUAGUGGGGGACAACAUUCCGAAAGGGAUGCUAAUACCGCAUACGCACUACGGGGGAAAGCAGGGGAUCUUCGGACCUUGCGCUAAUAGAUGAGCCUAAGUCGGAGUAGCUAGUUGGUGGGGUAAAGGCCUACCAAGGCGACGAUCUGUAGCGGGUCUGAGAGGAUGAUCCGCCACACUGGGACUGAGACACGGCCCAGACUCCUACGGGAGGCAGCAGUGGGGAAUAUUGGACAAUGGGCGGAAGCCUGAUCCAGCCAUGCCGCGUGUGUGAAGAAGGCCUUUUGGUUGUAAAGCACUUUAAGCGAGGAGGAGGCUACCUGGAUUAAUACUCUAGGAUAGUGGACGUUACUCGCAGAAUAAGCACCGGCUAACUCUGUGCCAGCCGCCGCCGUAACAC
rnacentral:rRNA from 1 species